AUUGAACGCUGGCGGCAGGCUUAACACAUGCAAGUCGAACGAGUGGCGGACGGGUGAGUAAUGCUUGGGAAUCUAGCUUAUGGAGGGGGAUAACUACGGGAAACUGUAGCUAAUACCGCGUACCAUAGGAUGAGCCCAAGGGGGAUUAGGUAGUUGGUGAGGUAACGGCGCACCAGGCCGACGCUCUCUAGCUGGUCUGAGAGGAUUAACAGCCACACUGGGACUGAGACACGGCCCAGACUCCUACGGUAGGCAGCAGGGGGGAAUAUUGCGCAAUGGGGGUAAGCCUGAUGCAGCCAUGCCGCGUGUAUGAAGAAGGCCUUCGGGUUGUAAAGUACUUUCAGUCGGGAGGCGUUACCGACAGAAGAAGCACCGGCUAACUCCGUGCCAGCAGCCGCGGUAAUUC
rnacentral:rRNA from 1 species